AACGCUAGCUACAGGCUUAACACAUGCAAGUCGAGGGGCAGCAUAAAAGUAGCAAUACUUUGGUGGCGACCGGCGCACGGGUGAGUAACGCGUAUGCAACCUACCUAUCAGAGGGGAAUAACCCGGCGAAAGUCGGACUAAUACCGCAUAAAACAGGGGCACCGCAUGGUGAUAUUUGUUAAAGAAAUUCGCUGAUAGAUGGGCAUGCGUUCCAUUAGGUAGUUGGUGAGGUAACGGCUCACCAAGCCGACGAUGGAUAGGGGAACUGAGAGGUUGGUCCCCCACACUGGUACUGAGACACGGACCAGACUCCUACGGGAGGCAGCAGUGAGGAAUAUUGGUCAAUGGGCGAGAGCCUGAACCAGCCAAGUCGCGUGAAGGAAGAAGGAUCUAUGGUUCGUAAACUUCUUUUGCAGGGGAAUAAAGUGCAGGACGUGUCCUGUUUUGUAUGUACCCUGAGAAUAAGGAUCGGCUAACUCCGUGCCAGCAGCCGCGGUAAUACGGAGGAUGCGAGCGUUAUCCGGAUUUAUUGGGUUUAAAGGGAGCGUAGGUGGUUUGAUAAGUCAGCGGUGAAAGUUUGCAGCUUAACUGUAAAAAUGCCGUUGAAACUGUCGGACUUGAGUGUAAAUGAGGUAGGCGGAAUGCGUGGUGUAGCGGUGAAAUGCAUAGAUAUCACGAAGAACUCCGAUUG
rnacentral:rRNA from 1 species